rnacentral:rRNA from 1 species
AAACUGGAGAGUUUGAUCCUGGCUCAGAACUAACGCUGGCGGCGUGCCUAACACAUGCAAGUCGUACGAGAAAGUCGGCUUCGGCUGAUGAGUAAAGUGGCGCACGGGUGAGUAACGCGUGGAUAAUCUGCCCCUGAGUUCGGAAUAACGUACCGAAAGGUGCGCUAAUACCGGAUAAUGCUGAGUGGCUACUGUCGCUUAGCCAAAGAAGGCCUCUGUUUACAUGCUUUUGCUUUGGGAUGAGUUCGCGUACCAUUAGCUAGUUGGUAGGGUAAUGGCCUACCAAGGCGACGA